rnacentral:pre_miRNA from 1 species
AAAGUACUCUCUCCGUCUCAAAAUUCUUGUCUUAGAUUUGUCUAGAUACGGAUGUAUCAAGUCACAUUUUAGUAUUAGAUACAUCCGUAUCUAGACAAAUCUAAGACAAGAAAUUUGGGACAGAGGGAGUAGUUG